rnacentral:rRNA from 1 species
UACGUAGGGGGCAAGCGUUGUCCGGAAUCAUUGGGCGUAAAGAGCGUGUAGGCGGCCCGGUAAGUCGGUUGUGAAAGUCAGGGGCUCAACCCUUGAAUGCCGACCGAUACUGCCGGGCUAGAGUCCGGAAGAGGCGAGUGGAAUUCCUGGUGUAGCGGUGAAAUGCGCAGAUAUCAGGAGGAACACCAAUGGCGAAGGCAGCUCGCUGGGACGGUACUGACGCUGAGACGCGAAAGCGUGGGGAGCAAACAGG